rnacentral:sRNA from 1 species
CCAGCCCCCCUCGUGAUAUCUUAAUCAAAUCAUGAACCCUUCUCUCUCAGCUCACGUCUCUACCCUGCUUCCUGUUUACUUCCUGGACUCACUACAAGUAUCAGCUCUUCAUCCUAGUCUGUUCUGUUGGGAACUCGAGGCCUGCCACUUGCUGCAGGUUAUGGAGUUCCUAAGUGUCUAUUCUGAGCAUCUAUUGCUGUGUAAUGACCUGCCACACAAUCUGGUGGCUUCCGGUAGCCUUAUUUAUCACCCUGCUUCUGUAGGUUGACUGGGUUUGACUGGGUGAUUUUUUGGGGAGGGAGAGGGGAGUCCAACACAUAGGUAGAUGUCUGGGGAUAGAGGCGUCUGCAGGCUCUACUGUACUGAUUGUCCGAACAGCCAGGAGUUCAAGGUCAAGAGGUAGGACACAAGCCGGCUAAAGGAUUCUUUUGGAUUAGCAUAGAGUCACUUCUACCACAUUCUAGUAAAAACAGUACUUUCAGGCUCUCUCGGUAGGAGAGGUGGAGAAAUGAAUCAUGUUAUGGUUUGAAUAGGACAGGCCAGAUAAGCUCUUGUUCCCAGAUCGUGGUAACAAAUUCAAGACGUGGGGCCUAGCCAGAGGAGCAGGCUGAUGAGGGCAGGUCCUUAACCCCCUCCUAUCUGUCUCUGUGCUGACGGAUUGGCCUUUGCAAGCAGCUUUGCUCCUUUAAGCUCUUGCUACCACACUGCCCUAGUUCACUACCAGUCCACAGUGAUGGAGCAAGCUGGCCAUGCACUGACAGCAGGAACCCAAAUACCGUGCAGGGACAGGAUGCAAACCUGGUCAGUGUGGUUUGAGAAAUCCUAAUUGUAACCUCCAUUUUGCCUCUACGGAAGAUAAAUAAGAAGUCUGGUCAUUUCUAGAGGACCAGAGGGUGAGCUGAAAAGGAUGGAAAAUGUUAUCAGGAUCCCAAGUUUAAGUCCAGACUGAUGUGGCCCCAAGUGAUCUCAGAUGUAGAGUUGGCAGCCUUGACAGGGGCCUGGAAAAUGCAGUGAGGCUGGCAAGAUGGCGCCGAAGUAAAGGUGCUUGCCUUAGCCAACCUGGUUGACUGGGUUUGAUCACUGGCGAGUACAUUGUGGAAGGAGAGAACUGAUUCCCCAAAGUUUUCCUCUGACUUCCGUAUGUGUAUUGUCAGGGUUAGCCUGGGCAACUCAGUGAGCCUUGGUCUCGAAAGAAAAGGUAAAAUGAGGGUUGAGUGUGUAACUCAGCCAGUGUCCUUGCCUAGGGUCAAUCUCCAGUAUUAAAAAACAAAAAUUUCUCUGGAGAUACAUUGAAGGAUUUUGAGUCCGAAAAUUAUUCUAGAUUACCAAGAUAGCCCAAAGAUGCCAAUUAAAAGUGUCCUUGUAGGAGAGAGUCAUGGAAACACACCUCACACAGGAGAAGAUGUGACAAGGCAGAGUGAUUGGAAGGUACUGCCCUUGGAGAGAUGUGGCCAUAAGCCAGGGAAUGCCAGAGACCACCAGAAGAAGCACAGACUCUCCCCUGGAGCCUCCCUGGACACAUUGAUUUUUGGUCCCAUUACAUAGAUUUCAUCUAUACCUGGGUUUGAAAAUAAUCACUAAAUUGAUUUCAUCUAUACCUGUGGCUUCAAGAAUCCCACUUUGUGGCAACUUACAAUAGCUCCCACCAGCUAGGAUCAAUCCAUUUCAGACAGUGUUGGAGAACGGGUUGUAAACUUGUUAGUCCAGCUGGCAUUAAACAAAGGCUUAGCAAAAUCCCAGAGUGCAAUUGUGUGUCUAGGGGACAAGUGACAGGUUGCACAAGUGUCACGAGUAUUUGACAUCAGGGAGCCUAUGUCGAGAGUUCGAGGAGUCUCUUGGUUCUUGUGGAGUCAGUCUACUGAGAAACACCAGACGGCUUAAGGGUUACCUCCGCAAAGAUCCAAGGUUCAGUGAACUUUCAAGAUGAAGGUGGUUGAGAACCACCCUUCCCCCCAGUAUCUUUUUUUCAUCUUUAUUAUGUUAUUAUGUUAACUAUACAUUUAACACAGCCUUGGAGGGCCAAGAGGACACAAAAGGUGUUGGAUAGGCUGGCCUUUAAGGAUGAGGCCUCUAAAGUCAAACCAUCAGGGAAGCUGGAUUUUAACAUGCCUUUCAUCUCAGAGUCUGGCUGGUUGGUGCCUGGUGUGAAGUGGAACUCAGAUACGAACUCGGAGCAGCAGUGGGUUUUGUAAGGGGAAUAGAACUUAGUGUUUCGUGGGUAGGCAGUGUCUGGGGAGGAAUGGUUCUCAGGUACUCCAAUCUGGCCAGAGCUGGCCUGCUUUGUUUAACUUUUUAAACAACCCCUCUGGGGUUCAAAUGAGUGACAGAAGAAAGGAAGGAGGAAGGAAGGUGAAGAUGUCAGAACAGUGGUGGGUGGCGGCUGGGGAAGGAGCGUAGAGCCUCUGCAUGCUUCUCUAUGUCCACUCUUUGUGAGCAGGAGCAGCUCUGGGUCUUACUUCCAGAAUAUUAACCAUUUAAUGCCACGGCACAAAUCAUGCUGGUCAAUGAACCCAGGCCCCAAAGCAGGUCAAUUAAUUCUAAUUACAUUCAUUUACAUUCAUUUAUUUUGUGUUUGGCAUGGGGCUUGGGAUGUAUGUGGAGGUUGGAGGACAGCUUGCCAGAGUCCGUUUUCUUCUUCCCUCGAGCGGUUCAUCAGGAUUGAACCCAGAUUGUCUCCCAAACUCCAGAAACUGUUUAGAGUCUCUUAGUUUCUGCAGGUCAAGAGCCUGGGAUUAGUUUAUUUUAGUCCUGGCUCUGAGCUUGUGGACUGCAGGAUGUAACCAUGUACCCUAUGCACUGUCCCCCUGCGCGCAUGCGCGCGCACGUGCACACACACACACACACACACACACACACACACGCACAUGCACACACACACGCACAGGUACAUGCACCCCAUCCAGGGCUCCAUUGAAGUCAUAGGACCAGUUUCCAAAAUGGCUCCCUCCAUGGAUGGUGAAUCCAUGGUGACUGUUGGCAGAAAAUCUCCACGUUUUAUUCCUAGACCUGUCUACUGAAUAGUUGUCAACUCUCUCAAGUGAAUGAUCCCAGAGAGUGAGGCAGAAACCACCGUGUCCUUUAUGAGCAGGACACUUUCUGCCAUUCCUACAACAGAUUGUACAGGUGAGCUCCGUUCAGCAGAGGAGGGAACUCCCCUGGGUCCACCUUCCCGGAGGUAGGGUGUACCACCACAGGCUGGCCGUCUCUAGAACAGUGGAAAGGGCUGUCCUGUGGCUAUCGGAUCAGCAUGAACAGGAGCUGGCCGUACUGAAGAAAUCUGCUGCGGUCAGGUGGGCCAAGGUCUGGCUCCAGCCAAGGGACGGAGAGAGCCUGCCAUCCCUCCAUGAUGUCCAUGCAGCUUCCGCCCACGCUGGCAGGGAGUGGAGGCCUCCUUUGGGCACUGCUGGAUCCUGUUACACUGUCACAGAGCAAGACAAGAACUGUGGAGCCCGUGGCAGGAGACAAUGGCCUCCAUUGAGGAAUUAUGACGUAAAGGAACCAGCAAGCCCACAGCCGCCAUUCAGGAAACAAUGGUUGUUUCAAGAGGGCCCAGGGGUGCUCCCAGGAGAGGCAAAGACGCACCUCAGCGGCCUGGAGAAAAAUCUCCCCUGGACCUGUCUGAAAAGGGGCAGAAGACAGGCUAAGAGACAAUAAAAACUGGCUGCAGGGUAAGCGUGUGCCUGGUUUUGUGGAAAUCGACUCACCUGUAUUUAUUUAGUAUGUAAAAUCCCUGCUGCUUGGGUGAGCCAUAAGGCUAUGUGGGAGGUUUAGCAGAGAUGUGGGACAAAAAGAAGCAGCCAUGACACAUGCCUUCAUGCUUUAUUGUCAGGAGCCCAGAGCCUCUUGAACCCUGCCCCUAUCUCUGGGCUGGUAAGAAGAGGGGAUUAGUUAUGUGACUGUCCCAGAAUGCUUGGUUCACUGUCAUCACCCUCAUUUUCCACAUACAAAAACAGCUGGGAUGACAUGGUUGUCUAGGUCCACAACUGAACAGUCGCCCUUGGCUGGCAUGAGGUAAGAGCCAGGAGUAUUUGCUUAGAUCCACCAGGCUGCCAACAGUGCGGGCCAUGUGAGGAGAUCAGAACAACUCAACUACACAGGCAAUCUAUAUGGAGGGACUGCUCCAGCUGAGUGGGACCCAAGGGUCUUGAGGCCCUCUUCCUGAAGGGCUCACACAUGAGUUUCCGGCAACUGGUCAGAGGGGCAAUCUGCAGAGGUCACUGCAUGGAGCCUCCACCAGACCUGUGAUGAGGGAGGAAGAAACAGGGUGUAUGUGGUGGAUAGCACUCUCCUUCUCCACUCCAUCUUCUAUCAUUGUCUCCUGUUGGUUAGAUCCAGUGAGAGAGGAGAACUGAGAAGCUAGUCCAUUGCAUCUCUACUUGGGUCCUUGUUGUGGUUUGUCCUGAAGUUAUCUGUAUUUGGAUGCUAAUUCCACUGCCCCAAGGACAGCUGCCU